rnacentral:rRNA from 1 species
AUUGAACGCUGGCGGCAUGCCUUACACAUGCAAGUCGAACGGCAGCACGGGAGCAAUCCUGGCGGCGAGUGGCGAACGGGUGAGUAAUGUAUCGGAACGUGCCCAGUCGUGGGGGAUAACGUAGCGAAAGCUACGCUAAUACCGCAUACGAUCUGUGGAUGAAAGCGGGGGACCGUAAGGCCUCGCGCGAUUGGAGCGGCCGAUAUCAGAUUAGGUGGUUGGGGGGGUAAAGGCCUACCAAGCCGACGAUCUGUAGCUGGUCUGAGAGGACGACCAGCCAAGCUGGGACUGAGACACGGCCCAGACUCCUACGGGAGGCAGCAGUGGGGAAUUUUGGACAAUGGGCGCAAGCCUGAUCCAGCAAUGCCGCGUGCAGGAUGAAGGCCUUCGGGUUGUAAACUGCUUUUGUACGGAGCGAAAAGGCUCUCUCUAAUACAGGGGGCUCAUGACGGUACCGUAAGAAUAAGCACCGGCUAACUACGUGCCAGCAGCCGCGGUAA